UCAAUGUCAAAAAGGUGCCAGAAUAGUCUUGUGGCACUAUAUACGUCUUUACUCUACGCCAUAUACAAAUAGGGAUGUCUGUGAUUCAACAAAUUAGUUAAAUCUCCGUUUGAAUCACAUUCAAAUAUAACAAUUUUCAUUAAACUAGUCAAAUGUAAUGUAAAUUGUUACUGUACUUUAUUUUACGCCACAGGAUUUUGGGUCUUUGACUAAAUCUAGCAGUCCGAUUUUUAUGCUAAUACUUUUUUGACAUCGUUAGCUAGUACACAAAAUGUUCGCUCGAAAAUAAAUAUAAUAGAAUGAUAAUAAAUAAUAAAUAAAUAAAUAACUAUUAUUUGAAGAGGGUUCAACAGUUGCAAUUGUAACCAGUUCUUCUAUCCAAAGAGUUUAUCAACUCAUCCCUAAGUGACAUUGACAAUUUCUUUUCCAAAGUUUGACAGCUUGGGUGAUAUAAACUCGAAGAUGCCACGUGAAAUCAAAGAUAUCAAAGACUUCCUGCUAAAAGCCCGCAGGAAAGAUGCAAAAUGUAAG